ensembl:lncRNA
GUGCUCUUUAAAGCCGCAAAACGACUCUAGUCUCUCUUUCAGCAGCUCUUUAAAUAUUGAAGAGAACCAUCUUGUCCUGUCGUCCCGUUUUCUCCCAUUGUGUUAAAACUUUGUACUUCCCUCAGCCCUGUUAUAGCAGUGUGUCCGGUCUCUUGGACGUCUGAAGAGAAGCUUCGGUGGGUCAGUGAUCACCCUGAGGCUGACCCAGAAGGAGCGAGAUUUCAGGGGUGCUGUGGUCAGAGCCUGGUGAGCCAGGACUCCAUCUCCUCAGGUCAGGAGGUUAUAAAUCAACACAGGUUCAGCAAACCUUCCUACACAAAUCAUUAGCUUCUCCGCCUCCUUUCUGGAAAUCAGAGACACUGAACAGAAACAAACAGCUUUAGUGAGAUUUGGGGUGAAAACUCAUCUCUCAAACUGUUGAGGGGAAUUUAAGAAAAUCCUGUGCGGUGACCGCCUCAGGCUGUAUCCUCUACUAAAGGCUCAGGAAGAAGGCAGAGGUCGCUGGGACACAUAGGCAAGCUUUAAUGUCAUCAAGAUCAGAUGGCUGGGAAACUGAAGAGGAGGGAUUUAAAGCUGAGUUCUGGCUGCUGAGUUCCAGCACCUCAGCUUCAGAAUCACACACUGCACUAACUUUCAAGAGCUGACAUUAAGUCAGUAAACAGAGUCCAGAGUUUCCCAGAUGGCUCAGCAGUAAAGAACUCGCCUGCAGUUCGGGGGACACAGGUGCAAUACCUGGUUUGGGAAGAUUCCCUAGAGGAGGAAAUGGCAACCCGCUCCAGUAUUAAUGCCUGGAAAAGCCCAUGGAUAGAGGAACCCAGCAGGCUACCGUCCACGGGGUCCCAAAGAGUUGGACGCGAUUGAGCACACGUCCACAUCUUCCUGAUGAAAAGCUUUUCCCUCCGCAUGUAGGAUCUUAGCUCCUCAACCAGAAUGGAACCUGCAUCCCCUGCAUUGGAAGGUGAAGUCUCAACCACUGGACUACCAGGGAAGUCCCAUAAAAAUGCUUUACCCAGCUGUUCUUUCAACUGUCAUCCACAAAAGAGACCAGGUCUGAACCAAAGCAAAAAUUGGCUAACUUUCUUCUCCCAAGUCUAGACAUGAGAAUUUCUUUUUUACUUUUAGCUUGAUGCCUUGGGUAAGAACAUUCAAUGUGAAUCAAUGUGGUUACAAC